AUUAAACGCUGGCGGCAUGCCUUACACAUGCAAGUCGAACGGCAGCACGGGGGCAACCCUGGUGGCGAGUGGCGGACGGGUGAGUAAUACAUCGGAACGUGCCCUGGAGUGGGGGAUAACGCAGCGAAAGCUACGCUAAUACCGCAUAUUCUGUGAGCAGGAAAGCAGGGGAUCGCAAGACCUUGCGCUUUGGGAGCGGCCGAUGUCGGAUUAGCUAGUUGGUGGGGUAAAGGCCUACCAAGGCGACGAUCCGUAGCGGGUCUGAGAGGAUGAUCCGCCACACUGGGACUGAGACACGGCCCAGACUCCUACGGGAGGCAGCAGUGGGAAUUUUGGACAAUGGGCGCAAGCCUGAUCCAGCCAUGCCGCGUGAGUGAAGAAGGCC
rnacentral:rRNA from 1 species